GCGUAUCAGCUACGACGCCGUGAAUACGUUCCCGGGCCUUGUACACACCGCCCGUCACGUCAUGAAAGCCGGU
rnacentral:tRNA from 1 species